rnacentral:tRNA from 1 species
GGUGGCUCAGUGGAAGAGUGCUUGCCUCACAUGCAUGAGGACCUGGGUUCAAUUCCUCAGCACCA